rnacentral:rRNA from 1 species
UACGUAGGGCGCAAGCGUUGUCCGGAAUUAUUGGGCGUAAAGAGCUCGUAGGCGGUUUGUCGCGUCUGUCGUGAAAGCUUGGGGCUUAACCCCAAGUCUGCGGUGGAUACGGGCAGACUAGAGGCAGGUAGGGGAGAACGGAAUUCCCGGUGUAGCGGUGAAAUGACGCAGAUAUCGGGAGGAACACCGGUGGCGAAGGCGGUUCUCUGGGCCUUACCUGACGCUGAGGAGCGAAAGCGUGGGUAGCGAACAGG